rnacentral:rRNA from 1 species
GACGAACGCUGGCGGCGUGCCUAAUACAUGCAAGUCGAGCGGACGAAUCGAAAGCUUGCUUUUGAUUCGUUAGCGGCGGACGGGUGAGUAACACGUGGGCAACCUGCCCUGUAGACGGGGAUAACACCGAGAAAUCGGUGCUAAUACCGGAUAACACGAAAUGUCGCAUGACGUUUCGUUGAAAGACGGCGCAAGCUGCCGCUACAGGAUGGGCCCGCGGCGCAUUAGCUAGUUGGUGAGGUAACGGCUCACCAAGGCGACGAUACGUAGCCGACCUGAGAGGGUGAUCGGCCACACUGGGGCUGAGACACGGCCCAGACUCCUACGGGAGGCAGCAGUAGGGAAUCUUCCGCAAUGGACGAAAGUCUGACGGAGCAACGCCGCGUGAGCGAAGAAGGCCUUCGGGUCGUAAAGCUCUGUUGUUAGGGAAGAACAAGUAACGCAGUAACUGGCGUUACCGUGACGGUACCUAACGAGAAAGCCACGGCUAACUACGUA